rnacentral:rRNA from 1 species
GUAUGGGACGUCGAAGCAUGGAAAGCUAUCAGGCUUGCUCUGUUCAACAAUAAGUGCGGUAGCAGAAUCAUCACCACAACGCGUAACGUUGCCAUCGCAUCAUAUUGCUCAGGCGACAGCAGUUAUGUUUAUCAAAUGGAGUCCCUUAAUUCUUCCGACUCCAGACGGCUAUUUUUUAAAAGAUCAUUUGGUUCAGAAGAACUGUGCUACCCUCACCUGGAAGAAGUUUCUAGCCAGAUAUUGGCAAAAUGUGGUGGACUUUCAUUGGCGAUUAUUACCUUGUCCAGCUUGUUAGCUGACAAGCAUGCAAACGAUGAAUGGAACAGGGUGCUAACAGCUAUUGGCUCGGCACUUGCAAAUGGUCCUAAUGCUGGGAACAUGACAAAGAUAUUGUCUCUGAGCUAUUUUGAUCCUUCUCACCGUAUGAGAACAUGUUUGUUGUAUUUGAGUGUAUUCCCAGAAGAUCAUAGGAUUGAUAAACAGCGUUUGAUAGGUCGAUGGGUCGCGGAAGGAUUCAUCCACGAAGAACGAGGGCGAAGUGCUUAUGAAGUAGGCGAGGGCUAUUUCAAUGACCUCAUCAACAGAAACUUGAUCCAGCCAGUUGAUGUAGAGUAUGGCCAGCCCAAGGCGUGCCGGGUUCACGACAUCAUCCUUGAUUUCAUUACAUGCAAGGCUGCUGAAGAAAAUUUCGUCACGUUAUUCGAUUCCGUGGAGCAUGGACAUGCUUCAGAUUACAGGGUUCGUCGGCUUUGUGUCGAGAAUCGCAACAGCAAUAAGGUUACCAUACCAACAAGCCUGAUACUAUCCCAUGUCCGAUCACUUACUGUAUUUGGACACUGCAUGCAAGAAUCUUUGUCGACAUUCCCCGCCCUUCGUGUGUUGGACCUGGGAGAAUGUUGGGAGUUAGAAAACCAUCAUCUUGCAAAUAUUGGAAAGUUGCUUCAUCUCAAGUACCUGCGUCUCAGACAAUCUAGAAUUACUGAGCUCCCCGGAAAAAUUGGAGAACUGCGGUAUUUGGAAACACUGGACAUCAGAGGUACCAGGAUCCAGGAACUGCCACCAACUAUUUCCAGGCUUCAACGAUUGGCACAUCUACAUGUUAAUCACAUGAUUAGGUUUCCGGACGGCGUAAUUGGGCAGAUGCAGAGUUUAGAAGAGGUGGAGAAUUUCGGCGUCUUCUCCUAUGAACAGGGCAAGUGUCUGCGAGAGUUCAGUCAGCUAAGUAAGCUGAGGACACUGAAAGUACCAAAUGGUUGGUCACAUGACACAACCAAAAGGAGCCAUCUUGAGGUUAUCGAGGGUUACUUGGAAAUUUUAUUGUCUUCAUGCAAUCUUCAUCAUCUCUAUUUCCAGUUAUGGCGGUGCAGCCUUCCAGCUUACCGCUACCCAGUGUCACUUGAAUCGUCGUGCCCUACUGAUGCGUGUGUCCUCAGGAAGCUCCACAUCACGUACUGUUACAUUGACAAGGUUCCAGGUUGGAUGAGCCUGCUUGAAAACCUCGGGGAACUAAACCUUUAUAUGUUCAGUGUGAGACCAGAAGAUGUUGCGGUUCUUGGAGCAAUUCCAUCUUUGCAUUUUCUUGGACUGAGGACUUACUUCGGCACAGAUGGGAGGAUCUUGGUCGCCGGCUUCAGAAGCUUGAAGUAUUUCGACCUGGAAAUCUUCUGCUGCGGGACCUCGCUGGAGUUUGAAGCAGGGUCGAUGCCGAGUCUUGAGCAACUCAAGCUUGAGCUCCGCGUGCACAAGAUGGAGUGCCUGAAUGGCGCUUCUGAUUUCGGCAUCCACCGCCUCUCCGCCCUCACCAAGGUUGAGAUCAGCAUUUAUGGCGACACCGAUGGUGUCUACGAUCUGUAUGAAGACAUCACCGUCAAAUGCGUCGCGAGCCGCCUCGAAACCGCCAUCGAGAAUGCCUUGGGUGUGUGCGUGUGUUGUGGUGGCGUGCAUUGUACUGGGUUGUGA